rnacentral:lncRNA from 1 species
ACUAGCAGUCAAUCAUCUGGCCCAUGUCCUUCAUGAUCCAUCCCAGUGGGUAGGGGUGUGGGUGUGGUGUCGUCUCCAAGCCAAGCCUCUGCACAGGGCUCAUCGAGAUCAGAUUCUUUUGGCUACUGGUGUCAAUGAUGGCGCCAAUGACCUUGUUCUUGACCUAGAUGUUGAGGGUGAAAAGCUCCUUUGCAGCAUCUUCUUAGGUUGACAAACCCAAGCCAGUCUCCUUUGGUUUGACCAUCAAGGAUAGGUUUGUGUCCACCUUUGUGAUCGAUUUGAGCCAUUCACCUUCACUCGCCACC